rnacentral:rRNA from 1 species
UAACGCGUGGGUAACCUGCCUCAUACAGGGGGAUAACAGUUAGAAAUGACUGCUAAUACCGCAUAAGCGCACAGUGCUGCAUGGCACAGUGUGAAAAACUCUGGUGGUAUGAGAUGGACCCGCGUCUGAUUAGCUAGUUGGUGGGGUAACGGCCUACCAAGGCGACGAUCAGUAGCCGGCCUGAGAGGGUGAACGGCCACAUUGGGACUGAGACACGGCCCAA